GACGAACGCUGGCGGCGUGCUUAACACAUGCAAGUCGAACGGAAAGGCCCUGCUUUUGUGGGGUGCUCGAGUGGCGAACGGGCGAGUAACACGUGAGUAACCUGCCCUUGACUUUGGGAUAACUUCAGGAAACUGGGGCUAAUACCGGAUAGGAGCUCCUGCUGCAUGGUGGGGGUUGGAAAGUUUCGGCGGUUGGGGAUGGACUCGCGGCUUAUCAGCUUGUUGGUGGGGUAGUGGCUUACCAAGGCUUUGACGGGUAGCCGGCCUGAGAGGGUGACCGGCCACAUUGGGACUGAGAUACGGCCCAGACUCCUACGGGAGGCAACAGUGGGGAAUAUUGCACAAUGGGCGGAAGCCUGAUGCAGCAACGCCGCGUGCGGGAUGACGGCCUUCGGGUUGUAAACCGCUUUCGCCUGUGACGAAGCGUGAGUGACGGUAAUGGGUAAAGAAGCACCGGCUAACUACGU
rnacentral:rRNA from 1 species